UUCAUUUCAAUCACAUUUUUGCAAUGGCCAAAUGCGCCAGUUCUCCUAGGAUGAAAUGGGAAUUAUAAUUGACCAGAAAUCUUUCAAAAAUAAAAGAUGAAUAUUUUGCGAAUCAUACUAGAUGUUUCCUAUCGUGGCAAUCCUUCUUCAACCCAAUAAAACAGAUCAACCUAAAUAUAAAUACCAUAGAAAUCAAUUGCCAGACCAACAAAACAAGUCAAUGGAGUACAUUAUUAAAAUUUCGAAAUUGAUAUCAAUUUUCUAUACUAGGUUCUCGGCAACCAAACGGAAACUGAAGCAGAACCUGGGGCUCGGAGAUUGGUUUGCACUUUAUGAGCUGCGAGAUCUGCUCAUCGAGAUCG
rnacentral:misc_RNA from 1 species